rnacentral:rRNA from 1 species
AAACCAGGAUUAGAUACCCUAUUAUUUUAGACUUAAAUGUUUAAUUACCUGAAUAUUAAUAGUUAUUUUCUUGAAACUCUAAGAAUUUGGCGGUAAUAUAUUUUUUUAGAGGAACCUGUUUUUUAAUCGAUGAACCACGAUACUUUCUACCUUUUAUAUUUAUUUGUAUACCUCUAUUUAGAAUGUUUUUUUAGGAUAAUUUUCUUUUUCUUUAUAAGUUUAAUUUUAGGUCAAGGUGCAGUUUUUUUUAGGUAAACAUGGGUUAUUUUUUUAAUAAACAACUAGUUAAGUUGUUUUGAAUUUGGAUUUAACAGUAAAUUUAAUUAAUUAAUUAUUUUGAAUAUUUUUUUAUAUUAUGUACAUAUC